AUGAGGUCAAGGAAGUCCGAAACAGUUUAUGAAAACGAAGGGACUAACUGGAAAACUGCGUCAGUUGAAGAAUCUCCAGCAAUAUAUCAUUUUUUCCCAUCAUGAAUAAAAACAAUAUUUUCAAGAGAAGAUAAUAUCAUGUAAAGAAGCCUCAAUAUCAUCUAUGCAGUUAUGGCAAAUUUAGAAUUUCUACAAAUAAUAAUAAUAAUAGGCAAAUAUUAUGGAGGUAAAUUUUUUAUGGCUGCUUUAAUCUAUUAAAUUUGAUUCUAUUCGAAAUAGAUUGAAAGGUGAAAUAGAUCAUGAGUUGGAGAAUGGAAUAGUAUAGAACCUCAAUGCUCAAUCCUAAUGGUAUUUCGAUAAUCAUGGAUGAAUGAAUGUUCUCUUUUAUCUAAUAAAAAUUUUCUGUAGCAUAAUUUUUCUACCUGAAGUAAAAGAAAUA